GAUGAAGAGCGUAGCGAAAUGCGAUAAGUAGUGUGAAUUGCAGAAUUCAGUGAAUCAUCGAAUCUUUGAACGCACAUUGCGGCCAUAGGUAUUCCUUUGGCCAUGCCUGUUCGAGCGUCAUUUACACCCUCAAGCCUAGCUUGGUGUUGGGCGCCUGUCCCGCCGUUUUCGCGCGCGGACUCGCCUCAAAGUCAUUGGCGGCGGUCGUGCCGGCCCCCUCGCGCAGCACAUUUGCGCUUCUCGGAGGCCCGGCGGAUCCGCGCUCCAGCAAGACCUUUCACGACUUGACCUCGGAUCAGGUAGGGAUACCCGCUGAACUUAAGCAUAUCAAUAAGCGGAGGA
rnacentral:misc_RNA from 1 species